AACGAACGCUGGCGGCGCGCCUAAUACAUGCAAGUCGAGCGAGAAGACGUAGCAAUACGUUUGUAAAGCGGCGAACGGGUGAGGAAUACAUGGGUAACCUACCCUCGAGUGGGGAAUAACUAGCCGAAAGGUUAGCUAAUACCGCGUACGCUCCUUGGACUUCGGUUCAGGGAGGAAAGCGAUACCGUGGGUAUCGCGCUCUUGGAUGGGCUCAUGUCCUAUCAGCUUGUUGGUGAGGUAACGGCUCACCAAGGCUUCGACGGGUAGCUGGUCUGAGAGGACGAUCAGCCACACUGGCACUGCGACACGGGCCAGACUCCUACGGGAGGCAGCAGUAAGGAAUAUCGCGGCAAU
rnacentral:rRNA from 1 species